rnacentral:rRNA from 1 species
CUUGAGGCGUGGCUUCCGGAGCUAACGCGUUAAGUCGACCGCCUGGGGAGUACGGCCGCAAGGUUAAAACUCAAAUGAAUUGACGGGGGCCCGCACAAGCGGUGGAGCAUGUGGUUUAAUUCGAUGCAACGCGAAGAACCUUACCUGGUCUUGACAUCCACGGAAUUUGGCAGAGAUGCCUUAGUGCCUUCGGGAACCGUGAGACAGGUGCUGCAUGGCUGUCGUCAGCUCGUGUUGUGAAAUGUUGGGUUAAGUCCCGCAACGAGCGCAACCCUUAUCCUUUGUUGCCAGCGGUCCGGCCGGGAACUCAAAGGAGACUGCCAGUGAUAAACUGGAGGAAGGUGGGGAUGACGUCAAGUCAUCAUGGCCCUUACGACCAGGGCUACACACGUGCUACAAUGGCAUAUACAAAGAGAAGCGACCUCGCGAGAGCAAGCGGACCUCAUAAAGUAUGUCGUAGUCCGGAUUGGAGUCUGCAACUCGACUCCAUGAAGUCGGAAUCGCUAGUAAUCGUGGAUCAGAAUGCCACGGUGAAUACGUUCCCGGGCCUUGUACACACCGCCCGUCACACCAUGGGAGUGGGUUGCAAAAGAAGUAGGUAGCUUAACCUUCGGGAGGGCGCUUACCACUUUGUGAUUCAUGACUGGGGUGAAAGU